CAGCCGCCGCGGGAAUACGCAGGUGGCAAGCGUUGUCCGGAAUUAUUGGGCGUAAAGGGCUCGCAGGCGGUUUCUUAAGUCUGAUGUGAAAGCCCCCGGCUCAACCGGGGAGGGUCAUUGGAAACUGGGAAACUUGAGUGCAGAAGAGGAGAGUGGAAUUCCACGUGUAGCGGUGAAAUGCGUAGAGAUGUGGAGGAACACCAGUGGCGAAGGCGACUCUCUGGUCUGUAACUGACGCUGAGGAGCGAAAGCGUGGGGAGCGAACAGGAUUAGAUACCCCUGUAGUCCCUGUCUCUUAUAC
rnacentral:rRNA from 1 species